rnacentral:RNase_MRP_RNA from 2 species
CGUCGGGCCAAAGGAUUGCUAUCGCAGCUCACGCACACCUUGGCGACUUUUCUACAUGACUUGAUCGUCCAUGGACCCGUUUCUGCUGCGGGAAAAGUCCCCGGAGUCACAGCGUACACCAAUCUGCUCGUGGUGUGUUGUCCGUGGCCGUCGUCUCAUCAAAUCCGGGUCCAUGUCUUGUAUCUGGAAAGCUCCCAUCUCUAAGACGAUGUGGUGAUUGCGAGUCGGGCCCGGAGAGGCGUCUGUCACGACAAUCCCAGGGCAGAGGUGCGGCAUCAAAAGCUGUCGUCCUGCUCAUUCGCUACCAACCGCACUCCUCUGUGUGUGUAGAAAGUGUGAUGCAGUCGUCCUUGUCGCACACGCUGUCGGUCCUAUUCCCCAACGCGCCUCUUCGGAAAGCGACGUUGGUGGGACCACACGUUUCUCAUAGCUAAAGGUAUGCAAUCGUCGUGUCGCUCUCAGCGACAUGAUAUCUUAAUGGGGCUCGCUCUUGGCCCGAC